CACGUAUUUAGCCGGAGCUUCUUUUCAGUACGUCACUUUCUUCCCUCGCUGAUAGAGCUUUACUAUAACGAAUUACUUCUUCACUCACGCGGCGUCGCUGCAUCAGAGUUCCCUCCAUUGUGCAAUAUUCCCCACUGCUGCCUCCCGUAGGAGUCUGGGCCGUGUCUCAGUCCCAAUGUGGCCGUCCACCCUCUCAGGCCGGCUACUGAUCGUCGCCUUGGUGUGCUUUUACCACUCCAACUAGCUAAUCAGACGCGGGUCCAUCUCAUACCAGAUUUCUCCUUUUCACACAAAAACAUGCGUCUUUGUGCGCUUAUGCGGUUUUACCACCAGUUUCCCGAUGCUACUCCCCCUGUAUGAGGCAGGUUGCCCACGCGUUACUCACCCGUCCGCACUAAGAUAGUUCUCUUUCACCUCGAAAAGCUUCCAAGCAAUAUCUCGUUGACUUGCAUGUGUUAGCACGCCGCAGCGUUUCAUCCUGAGCCAGGUA
rnacentral:rRNA from 1 species